ACCCACUAAUGAAGUGCUAAUACAGUGGGCGAAUGUAAUAUCCCCCACUUUUAAAAAUGUAUUAAUAAGGAUUUAUAUGUAAAUUGGGGGACCUAUAUGUAAAUAUAGAAAUUACAAGGACUAAACUGCUAAGUUGCAAAAAGAAAAAAAAACGAAAAGGAAAAACCGAAAAUUCGGUAUUAUCCCACCGCCUCCCACGCACUCUGUUUCUAAACAGAGAGAGCGGUGGGGCGUGAGGAGAAGGAGAGUGGUUGAAGAAAAGAAGAAGAAGAGGGAAAAGAAGAGAGGAGGAAGAAGAGAGGAAGAAGAGAAGAAGAUGAAGAAGAAGAAGAAGAGGAGGUGGCUGCAGCGAGGGCUGCAGCGAGAAGCUGUGGGGCGUGGGGAGAAGAAGAGAGGAAGAAGAAGCAGAAGAAGAAGAAGAAGAAGAAGAAGAGAGGAUGAUAGCUGCGGCAAGGCUGCAGCGAGGAGGUGUGUGGGGUUGGGGAGGAAAAGGGAAGAUGAGAAGAAAAGAAGGAGAAGAAGAGGGAAAAGAGAGGGAAGAGGGAGAGGAGCGAGAGGUGGCAGCAGCUAGGGCUGCAGCACCUCUGUUUCCUGCAGGUGGAAACAGAGGAGAGGUGGGGCGUUCGAAGAGGAGAAGAAGAAGAAGAGGAAGAGAAGAGGAAGAGGAAGCAGGAGAAGAGGUUGCGAUACCUCUGUUUCCUGCAGAGGAAACAGAGGAGAGGGUGUGUGUGACGUCGGGGAGAAGAAGGGGAGGAAGGAGAAGAAGAGAAGAAGAAGAAAGGAAGGAGAGGAAGAAGAGAAGGGAAAGGAGGAGCUGCGGCUGCGGCGGUGGCAGCUGCAGCUGGAAGAGAAGGAGAGGAAGAGAUGGUGAGGAAGAAGAGAAGAAGUAGAAGCGGGUGAAGAGGCGGCACCUCUGUUUCCUGCAGGAGGAAACAGAGGAAAGGAGGUGCUGUUCGUCGGGGAGAAGAAGGGGGCUGCAGCUACGGCGAUGGCAGCUGCAGCUGGAAGAGAAGAAGAAGAGGAAGAUGAGCAGGGGAGGAGGGAGAGGUUGCGGCCGUGGCUGCGGCCGCGACUGCAGCAGUUGCAGCGGGGAGAGAAGAAGAAGAAAGGAAGGAGAAGGAAGAGGAGAAGGGAAAGAAGUAGCUGCGGCUGCGGUUGUAGCAGCUGCAGCUGUGGCAGGGAAAGAGGAAGAGAAAAAGGAAAGGAAGAAGAAGAGAAAGGGAAGGAGAGGAAGAAGAGAGGAAGAGGAGAAGGGGCUGCGGCUGCGGCGAUGGCAGCUGCAGCUGUGGCUGGGAAAGAAGAGAAGGAAAGGAAGAAGAAGAGAAAGGGAAGGAGAGGAAGAAGAGAGGAAGAGGAGAAGGGGUGGCAGCUGCGGCAGUGGCAGCUGCAGCUGGAAGAGGAGGAGGAAAUAGAGCAGGGGAGGAAGAAGAGGCUGCGAGUGUGGUGGCUGCGGCCGUGGCUGCGACUCCGGCUGCGGCUGCGACGUUGGCUGCGGUAGGUGGCUGCAGUAGCUGCAGUAGCUGCUUUUGGGAAAGAGAAAGAGUAGGAACGAGAGAAGGGAAGAAGGAAAUAGUGCAGUGGAAGGGGGCUGCGGUUGUGACCGCAGUUGCGAUUGUGGCAGCGGCAGCGGCGGCGGCUGUGGCAGCUGCGUUUGGGAAAGAAAAAGAAGGAAUGAGAGUAAGAGAGAGCAGGUGACUGUGCCUCGAUGUUCGACACGUGGUGUAGUUGCGAAGAAAGGAAGAAAACGGGAGCACAAAACGAAACAGAGAGAGGACACGGAGGAAAAGUAGAAGGAUUUGGGCUGGCACCUUCUUUGGAUCUUCGGAUCGAAAUCUUUGAAAGGUCAGCUUGUCACUCUUCGAGAUGUUUGAUUUGGGCUGAGGCAGUGGAUAGCUAUUCAGAAUAAUGGGCAAGUCUGGUUGGUUAUUACGAUAUUGUUGUAUAAGUAUGUCUUGUAUAUAAUGAAAUGUUGUCGAUGAACCGAAAUAGAUAUAUUGUGUCCAAGUGUUAGGAGAUCUCUCUUAUUUGGAAUUUCAGAAUGUUAAGUCUAAUUUAUGGUGAUAUGAACUUGUGGUGAAUAGUUGGAGUUCUGAUUGUAUAAUUUAUUUAGCUUGUGGAUUUAUAAAUGUUGUUCAUGUUUGUCAAGUUGGCUUGGGUUGCCAUAAAUGUGAAUUAUCGAGUGAUGUGAUAUAUGAUUAUAAACUGCACAGGUUUUAUGGAUGUGAAUA